UCGGGAAUAUUGGUCAAUGGGCGCAAGCCUGAACCAGCAACUCCGCGUGAGGGAUGAAGGCCCUUGGGUCGUAAACCUCUGUCAGAAGGGAAGAAAAUGGCCGAGUCAAAUAGGCUCGGUUACUGACGGUACCUUCAAAGGAAGCACCGGCUAACUCCGUGCCAGCAGCCGCGGUAAUACGGAGGGUGCAAGCGUUGUUCGGAAUUAUUGGGCGUAAAGCGGGUGUAGGCGGCUUUGCAAGUCGGACGUGAAAUCCCUGGGCCCAACCCAGGAACUGCAUCCGAUACUGCAUCGCUAGAGUCCCGGAGAGGAUGGCGGAAUUCCAGGUGUAGAGGUGAAAUUCGUAGAUAUCUGGAGGAACACCAGUGGCGAAGGCGGCCAUCUGGACGGUGACUGACGCUCAGACCCGAAAGCGUGGGGAGCAAACAGG
rnacentral:rRNA from 1 species